CUACUUUUGACAGUACUUCAAAAGAGAUGGAGUAUAAGGAAGACCAUGAAAGAAUUUUCCACUUCAUUUUACAUGGUUUGUGGCAGGACAUGGUAUGUUAGUGUCACCAAAUCCAAAGCCAGAUGUGUUGCCCAACACAAAAUGAAAGAGAAGGAAUUUCAUGAAUUUUUCCUACCAUCAGAAAGAUUUUGAUGUUACAGCAGAAUGACAGUUUUUACUACAGCACAUGGGUAGUCUGGUAUCAGUUGCAUGGGAGCUGAAUGCCCACCAGAGGAAAUGGAGCUCAAUGGAUGACAGAGGGCAGUGAUGA